rnacentral:lncRNA from 1 species
CCUAAAUCAGUUUCUAAGGUUUGGUGGUCAGGUCUGAUGAGACAUUUCACUGGUACCUGUUAGUUCUCCAUUCGGAAUUCCAUUUCUGUCCAAAAACACAAAUUAGACCACAGGCCUAACUAUAUUCAACACUCUCCUCACAGUGGACGGGCGCCACGUUGCAUAAUCAUCAUAAUAAUAACAACAACAACAACAAAUUGGAAAGGCAAUAAGGAAAACAUUAAACUUCAGAUUUGUGGAGCUCAUCACAAGUCCUUCUAGCACCUUCUCUGUCGUUGCCUGUGACGAGUAAGCGUAGCUAACACCUAGUCGGACAAGACCAAGUCCAUGUCAAUUAACAAUGCGAUAACAGUACGAUUGGACAGAACGCGUGAGAGUCUUACAAUAGCUGUAGUUUUCUUUGAUAGGACAGUGGUUAAAGUUUAGUUCCUCAAUGUUUAGGCAUACUUAAAAAACAAAUUCCUCAUCGUACAAUAACAGUGGGGGGAAGGCUGCUUCAACAGAGGUCACAAUGUAUCAUAUUAAAUCAAGAAGAGAGGCCACUGUACACAAAUACUGAGAAAUCAUUGUGAGAACUGGCUUGACAACUUAAAGAUUGAGGGUAAAGUCAACAUGGAAGCACUAUAAUGUAAAUGACACAUGGUUAUAAAGAUCAGACAGCCUGUACAAAUGUCAUCAAUUCAUAAUCUCAAAUUACAAAAAGAUGUUUGACUUAUUACACAUCAACCCAAAGACACAGUCCAGUAAUUCACAAUGCGCUGGCUCAAAGGCUGCAUGCAACUUCACUAAAAAGGUAAGUGAUUUUAAUGUACAUCACUGGGGAUAGCUUCUCUUCCUCAGUCCCCCUACAUCAGUCCCCCUACAUCAGUCCCCCCUACAUCCCACACACCAGCAUUUACAGAAAUCAGGCACUUUUCGGAUAUCCUAAUCUGUCAGCGCUAUCAUACAGGAAUAGCAUACAGGAGACCCUGGCUAGCGACACGGGGGCAACUGACGAAUACCGAACAUAUUUUUGACAUUAACCCACAGGGACAUAGAGAGGUGGUUGGACUGUCUGUCCUGUCUGGGCUUCUCCAAUCACCUCCACCUCUCCUUCAGUAUCUGCUACAGCAUCGCUCCUCUGUCCUGUCUGGACUUCUCCAAUCACCUCCACCUCUCCUUCAGUAUCUGCUGCAGCAUCGCUCCUCUGUCCUGUCUGUCCUGUCUGGACUUCUCCAAUCACCUCCACCUCUCCUUCAGUAUCUGCUGCAGCAUCGCUCCUCUGUCCAGUCUGCCCUGUCUGUCCUGUCUGGGCUGUGUUAGCGGUGGCUCUUCUCUGUG